rnacentral:rRNA from 1 species
AUGCAGUCGAAUGGUAACAGGAAACAGCUUGCUGUUUCGCUGACGAGUGGCGGACGGGUGAGUAAUGUCUGGGAAACUGCCUGAUGGAGGGGGAUAACUACUGGAAACGGUAGCUAAUACCGCAUAACGUCGCAAGACCAAAGAGGGGGACCUUCGGGCCUCUUGCCAUCAGAUGUGCCCAGAUGGGAUUAGCUAGUAGGUGGGGUAACGGCUCACCUAGGCGACGAUCCCUAGCUGGUCUGAGAGGAUGACCAGCCACACUGGAACUGAGACACGGUCCAGACUCCUACGGGAGGCAGCAGUGGGGAAUAUUGCACAAUGGGCGCAAGCCUGAUGCAGCCAUGCCGCGUGUAUGAAGAAGGCCUUCGGGUUGUAAAGUACUUUCAGCGGGGAGGAAGGGAGUAAAGUUAAUACCUUUGCUCAUUGACGUUACCCGCAGAAGAAGCACCGGCUAACUCCGUGCCAGCAGCCGCGGUAAU